GAUGAAGAACGUAGCGAAAUGCGAUAAGUAAUGUGAAUUGCAGAAUUCAGUGAAUCAUCGAAUCUUUGAACGCACAUUGCGCCCGCCAGUAUUCUGGCGGGCAUGCCUGUUCGAGCGUCAUUUCAACCAUCAAGCUCAGCUUGGUGUUGGGGCCUGCUGCACUGGCAGCCCUUAAAAUCAGUGGCGGCGCCAUCUGGCUCUAAGCGUAGUAAUUCUUCUCGCUAUGGAGUCCUGGUGGAUGCUUGCCAUCAACCCCCAAUUUUUCUAUGGUUGACCUCGGAUCAGGUAGGGAUACCCGCUGAACUUAAGCAUAUCAAUAAGCGGAGGA
rnacentral:misc_RNA from 1 species